GAUUGGUUUAUUUGGUUGGCGGGCUCCAUGUUUGUGCAUUGAACCGUUCAUCGAUAAGCCUCUUCAAUGUUUGCGCCAAGAGCUAUUGCCUUGGGCGAGUAUUGGUUUUCUGUGUUGUAUUCCAAUUGAAGGUAUACAUACCAAUAAAUUGCUCAUUUUCGCCUAACACUUUUACGGGUGUUUGGUGGACCCAUGUAGCUAGAUUCGUUCCCCAAACACAAUGUCAUAGCGCUAUUGUUAUGGAGUACGAAUUCUAGUUGUGCUCUGGGAUGCAGAAAGUUUAGUGGGGAUAGGAUACGUUGUUAUCCCUUUUUAAGCAUUUUAUGCUAAGCAUGAACGACAGCUGGUUACGAGUUGACCUUCCUUGUAAAGGGAGGGCUCAUGCGUACUAGUGUCGCUCGAGGAAUGCUACCUGGUUGAUCCUGCCAGUAGUCAUAUGCUUGUCUCAAAGAUUAAGCCAUGCAUGUGUAA
rnacentral:misc_RNA from 1 species